UCUAGCAUCCCUAAAGAUGGUAGGCCAAUAGAAACCACAUUCUAAUACCUUAAGUGUUGUUCUAUUAGUGCCAAAGUGUCCCCCACAAGCAUAAGUGUGACAAAAUGUUAGAAUAGCAUUAAACUCAGAAUCGUGCACACACCUACGUAUAACUUGGUCAGGGCAAUAUUUCCAUAGAUACGGGUCAUCCCACACAUAAAACCGUGCCUCUUUCUUCAAUUUAUCACCUUGGUGUUUAAGUAAUUCACUAGG
rnacentral:lncRNA from 1 species